AUUUUGGUUUUUGGUACACAAACAAAGGCAAGGGUUUGGAUUUUCACUGUUCUGCAGGUCCUAUUUUGAGUGAUUGAGUUUUCACUAAACUGCCUCCACAUCCUUCCAGGCAUAGAGUUUCACUGAAAGUUUUCUCCUUCUCACCGAUGCCCUGCCCUCUUCUUUUGCUUACUUGAGCUGAUUUACCCUAAAGGAUAAGCACCUGCUCAUUCCCUGCCUCUCUCAGCAGCUAGGAAGGGAGUGACAUCACAUGUUUACAAGAAGAUUUCCUGCUAUUCAUUCUUCUUCCCUCAGGAAAUGCCACUUCAUUCCAACUGAUUUGGAGUACCCAGAAGAAUUUCAGUGAAGGCUGGGUGUUUUUUGAAAGGCACCAAUAAAUGUUCCCAUGGACAAGCAGAGAGACUGAUAAAAAUAUUUUAUUGCUAGAUUUAUAUUCCCAGAAACAUUGCAGCCGGGAAUCCGGGGGUCCGAGUUAUGCCACGAGUCGACCAGAGGGGCCCUGCAGAGCCCCAAGAGCCUGCACGAGAACAUCAGUCUUCCAACCGCUUACCAGAAGGGGGCACCAGAUCUGAA